rnacentral:lncRNA from 1 species
CUUGUCAGGGCUGUGGCUGCUGACUCUUUAUAGCACUUUUCUCAACAUCUGUAGGUGGCUUAGUCCUCUAGCCUGCUCUUUCACUGGAUACCUGUGUCUGAGUGCAUUUGUUCAUCCAUCGUUUGGCCAGGGUCUGUGGGUCAGACCUGGCAGAUGGUACCCCAUGAGAGGAAUGCUGCAACGCAUCGUGACAGAACCCUCAAAAACGAAGGUGAAGAAGAAUGCACAGUCAGUAAGUCAGUCCAUCUUUGGAUUCCAGCAUGAUGCAUCAAACCCUACCAUGGGGUGACUAGGACCCAAGCCAGAAAUAAAGAAAAUGACCCUACAGGACCCACAGCUGCGGUGAUGCAGCUUCUGUGGAUGACACAAGCCCUGGAGGAUGCUGAAGAGGACCACUCAGGAGGCUGAGCGAAUCUUGCUCUGGACACAGACACCAUUUACUCCAUGAUGCAAAGCCGGAAUAUGAG